rnacentral:rRNA from 1 species
CACGUAGGGGGCGAGCGUUGUCCGGAUUUAUUGGGCGUAAAGAGCUCGUAGGCGGCUCAGUAAGUCAGGUGUGAAAACUCCAGGCUCAACCUGGAGACGCCACCUGAUACUGCUGUGGCUAGAGUCCGGUAGGGGAGCAUGGAAUUCCAGGUGUAGCGGUGAAAUGCGCAGAUAUCAGGAGGAACACCAGUGGCGAAGGCGGUGCUCUGGGCCGGAACUGACGCUGAGGAGCGAAAGCGUGGGGAGCAAACAGG